rnacentral:rRNA from 1 species
CAGUAGCCGCGGGAAUACGAAGGGGGCUAGCGUUGCCCGGAAUGACUGGGCGUAAAGGGCGCGUAGGCGGAUUGUUUAGUUAGGCGUGAAAUUCCUGGGCUUAACCUGGGGACUGCGCUUAAUACAGGCAGUCUAGAGUGAGGAAGAGGGUUGUGGAAUUCCCAGUGUAGAGGUGAAAUUCGUAGAUAUUGGGAAGAACACCGGUGGCGAAGGCGGCGACCUGGUCCUUGACUGACGCUGAGGCGCGAAAGCGUGGGGAGCAAACAGGAUUAGAUACCCCUGUAGUCCCUGUCUCUUAUAC